GGAAGGAUCAUUAACACUCUUUUUUUUUGAACUUUGGGAGCAAAAAUCCCGUCGUUCAAAGAAAACAUCCACCGUGAACAAACUGAAAAAAAGGGAACUUCCUUUUUUUUUCACCCCUUCAUAAAAAAAAUACUGAUCUUCCAUUGGACUGAAAACUAAAGUUGGAUUUUUUAUUCUAAGAAAAAGACAACUUUUGGCAGUGGAUAUCUUGGCUCCUGCAUCGAUGAAGAACGCAGCAAAAUGCGAUACGUCGUGUGAAUCGCAGAACUCUGUGAAUCAUCAAACCUUUGAACGCACAUUGCGGCUCGCCAGGGGGCAACUCCUGACGGGCCAUGCCUGUUUCAGAAUUGGUAACCCCUCUCAACUCCUUCACGGGGGUUGGAAUUGAGGUCGAUGCCGAUUGGCAUCUUCCUUUCAUUUGAACAAGGAAAAAAGAGCCCAUCAAAAGACAAAAGUGUUCUUCUUUUGGGGGGAGGUGCUGCUGCUAGGAAGCGAAGAAAAGUGAGCAAUCAUUUUUUUUUUUGCAACCCUGUGGUGCCUUCCCUAUCGGAAGAAGGAAUCGUUUUUGGCUUCGGGCCCUUUCUCUCUUGGGAAAAUCCCCCCCCCUUUUUUUUUGUUUUUCCCUUUCAAAUCUGAAAUCAGGCAAGAAUACCCGCUGAACUUAAGCAUAUUAUUAAGCGGAGGAAAAGAAACUAACAAGGAUUCCCCUAGUAGCAGCGAGUGAAGAGGGAACAGCUCAGGGUUGAAAUCGGAAUGGGAGCUCUCGGGCAUCUCGUUUCGAGUUGUACCUUUGAGAGGCAUGUCUUGGGUUUCCGCCAGGCAUAAGUCCCCUUCGAAUGGGGCAUCAUAGAGGGUGAAAAUCCCGUCUUUGGCCUGGACGAAGUAAAGGAGGUCCUUUCACGGCAUGUCAUCGGCGAGUCGGGUUGUUUGGGAGUACAGCCCUAAGUGGGUGGUAGGUUUCAUCUAAAGCUAAAUAUAGGCAGGAGACCGAUAGCGAACAAGUACCGCGAGGGAAAGAUGAAAAGAACUUUGAAAAGAGAGUUAAAUAGUCCUUGAAGCUGCCAAAAGGACAAGCGACUGUCCCUGUCGUAUAACUGCCAUCCAUCCGCUCGUACCGGAGGGAGACAUUCUGGCUUGUUUGCCAAGGCUCUUUGGGUCUGACAGGCAGGCUGAAUUCUUCUUGGGAACGGGUAGUGAUGGGUGGUGAGUCGGCCAAAGGUGGUUCCGUCUCUGAUUACGCGUGGAAGGCUUCUUGGAAGGUGGCCCUUGAGGGAGUCAAAUCCUUCUUGGGUUCUUAUAGCCAGGAGGUUUUUGAAGCGCCGGUACUGGGACCAUAUUGCAGCACCUUGAGUGUGUUUGCUAAGUGUGGGGUCGUCGACAAGAGCCAAAUUAUCUGCGCGUGCAAGUCGAGGGGCUUGUUCCUUUGGUCAGGGCCUUUGACUUCUCAGCGUAGUCACUUUCCUUUUGUCACGCCUGCACGGAACUUUGGCAAUUUAGGACGGAGUCAGUUGUCCCGUCUUGAAACACGGACCAAGGAGUGUAACCUAUAUGCGAGUAUUUGGGUGUUAAAACCCGCCCUAUUUAACGGGGCUCUCAAUCGAAUGCGCACUGAAAGGGAAGGCUGGCAUUAGUCAGCUGAGGUAGGAAUCGUCAUCAAGCCUUGGUGGCGAGGCACUAUCGACCGAUCCGGAGGAUUCGUCCGAAGGAUUUGAGUUUGAGCAUAUCUGUUACGACCCGAAAGACGGUGAACUAUGCCUGGGUAGGGUGAAGCCAGAGGAAACUCUGGUGGAAGCUCGUUCACGAUACUGACGUGCAAAUCGUUCGUCAAACUUGGGUAUAGGGGCGAAAGACUAAUCGAACCGUCUAGUAGCUGGUUCCCUC
rnacentral:misc_RNA from 1 species